AAUGGACCGAGAUCGCCGCCGCGCUUGGCGGAGUUGCAAUCCGAAAAACGAGAGGCGAUGUCCUCAAACUUAGCCUUGCCAGAAAUGAUGUCGUCACGGAAGACUUUAAGCUGAGAGACUGCAGAGUCUCUGGUGGUGUUCUUGAUUACGCGACCUUCAGGAUCCUUCCAGGACGCCUUCCUUCGAGAGCCCUCGUGCUUUACGAGUAUGUGAGAUGCCCUGACCUGAUCGGCUGACGCCAUUUUCGACCUCUUCUUGCUCUUUUCCCUUUCUCUU
rnacentral:misc_RNA from 1 species